UCGAGAAUCUUUCGCAAUGCCCGAAAGGGUGACGAAGCGACGCCGCGUGCGGGAGGAAGGCCUUCGGGUUGUAAACCGCUGUCGGGAGUUAAGAAAUGCAAGGAUGUUAAUAGCGUUCUUGCUUGACUAAGGCUCCGGAGGAAGCCACGGCUAACUCUGUGCCAGCAGCCGCGGUAAUACAGAGGCGGCAAGCGUUGUUCGGAAUUAUUGGGCGUAAAGAGCACGUAGGCGGCUGUGUAAGUCGGUUGUGAAAGCCUUCCGCUCAACGGAAGAACGGCAUCCGAUACUGCAUGGCUUGAGUGUGGGAGGGGAGAGUGGAACUUCUGGUGGAGCGGUGAAAUGCGUAGAUAUCAGAAGGAACACCGGCGGCGAAGGCGACUCUCUGGUCCAUAACUGACGCUGAGUGUGCGAAAGCUAGGGGAGCAAACGGGAUUAGAUACCCGUGUAGUCCCUGAGCGGGCUGGCAAGGCGCAU
rnacentral:rRNA from 1 species